rnacentral:misc_RNA from 1 species
CAGGAGGCGAGCGCGAAGGCUUUCGCCGCCGUGCCGUUUCUGGUGUUCGCGGCACCCUUCAUCAUCAUGCGCAAUACCGUGCGUGGCCGCACGAUCGAAGGCCGACGGGUUCAGUUCGUCGCGAUGGCCNUCGCCGGGUUCUGGAGCAUGAUGUCCGGCACGUUCGUCCUGAUGCUGCUGGAAACCGCCGGCAUCAUCGCCUGAUUUCCAGCACUUCCCACACUCGCCAGACCCUGUUCAUUCA